rnacentral:rRNA from 1 species
CAGUAGCCACGGUAAUACGGAGGAUCCAAGCGUUAUCCGGAAUCAUUGGGUUUAAAGGGUCCGUAGGCGGUUUAGUAAGUCAGUGGUGAAAGCCCAUCGCUCAACGGUGGAACGGCCAUUGAUACUGCUGAACUUGAAUUAUUAGGAAGUAACUAGAAUAUGUAGUGUAGCGGUGAAAUGCUUAGAGAUUACAUGGAAUACCAAUUGCGAAGGCAGGUUACUACUAAUUGAUUGACGCUGAUGGACGAAAGCGUGGGGAGCGAACAGGAUUAGAUACCCCCGUAGUCCCUGUCUCUUAUAC